rnacentral:lncRNA from 1 species
GGGAACGAUGUCCUCUUGAUCUGAAAUGAUUAAAUAAGGAAUAGCUACACUAGCCCAGUAAAGACAUCACGAUAUCUCACCGUCACGGAGGUAAAGGUGGGUAGAAAACACAAAAAGACCAAUGGAGCAUAAUUUACAACAAAUCCUUUUAUCGAUAAUAAAACCUUUACCAUUCCCUUACCUCGGUGAAAUUCAUAAAACAAUAUAUGAAAGUAAUAACAUCAUCAUCAUCAUGAAAACAUAUAUAUGAACUGUAUAACAUAAUACCUAUCACACUUUUUGUAAUUUAAUCGUUAACAACAUAUUUUCCUAAUUCACCAGCCCACUAGUAUCCAUGGGGAUC